GCGGAUGCUGAUGAGGGAGGACUUGGAGUAGAGCUGCCCGCUCUUGGAGCGCGCCUCGGCGUAGAAGGAGCGCAGGACCCGGCAGAGCGCCCCCUUGUCCAUCGUCUCGAAGUCGGGGCUCUGCGCCUUCUCGCUCAGGAGGUGAACUAUGUUGACAGACUUGGAGAUGAAUAUAGAGCCCAGUAUACCAAUAGUGUUUCAUCAUGAAGCCUCACUAGGAACUGAACCAGAAUAUGUCCCCAAAGCCAAGAAGCAAAGAAAAUCCAUUGGAUUUAUUUGGUCCUUGGGAUCUAGAAAAUAUUUGAAAAAAACCACUGCUUAAACAACCUUGUUGGUUAACCCUACAGCUGACUGCAUAGCAUCUUUUUAAGAAAACAGCUUUUUCUUCAUGUACACUUCGACUGUUAUUUAAAUGCAAUAAACGUGCUCCUAAAAUGUGUUAAUAUGUUUUCUAAACACAAGAUAUUUUCGCUGUAGAGGCAGGCUACAUGGAAAUUGGUUUCAGAAAUCCAUAUUGACACUACAGAACUGGAAGGCAAAUGACACUUGGGACUCUUGGAAAAUUCACUUAGGGAAAAAAUAUGUCCCAGAAAUCCUCCUCCCACUCAGAAACAUGCAGUUUUGAGGUAAGCUUUUCUAGCAUUUCAGAACGGUCACUUAUAAACGCUAAUUCCAUUUCUAUUUUAUUCUUUUAUUUGUAUGUAUGAUAUUUCUAGUUUUUUUCAUUACUUCUUGAUACUAGGGAGAGCUGAUGCUGACAUAACGUGCUAUAAUAGAUUUUACUGCUCUUUGACGUUAAAUUUUUCUUUUUGAGAUUAGGGUCUCCAGUCUGCAUGGCAAUGAAAUGGCUUUAUAUAACUCAACAAAGGUGACAUUGAUUUAGGAAAGUAAUGGUGUACCCAUCAGCACCAAGUAGCAGCUGUUCUUAAUGAAUUUUAAAAUACAAAAGCUAUUUUACCUCUUAGAUUGUCAUAUUAUGAAAUGUUAGUGGUAGUUGUGCACAUCAAAGCACCAGCUACUACUGACACACUGUGGAACGUGAAGGCGGCAUCAAACCAGCCCCGUCACGAAGUUCCAUGGAGCCAAUUGAAAGCGUAUUUCUGAAGCACGCUCGUAUUUUUUUUCCCACAGGUAUUUGCCAUUAUUCACUUGACUUAUUUUUGUUUCUUUUAUAAAAACAAUAUUUUUGUUGCUGAGACCACGAUUUGUUUCCCAAUUGCUCCUCUUUCCAAACAGGAGAAAACUUGAGUCAUCAUCUUUGUAAGAAAGCACACGUUUAGUGCUUGGCAAAUUAAAAGUCAAGACUUUGUGAAUCAUCAUUAUUUUCAGUGUCAAGCAGCUGGAGCAUUUUUGCUUCCAAAAAUAUAGAAGAGCUACGUUGUCAGACAGCUUGGAGAGAGGCAGGUAAUAAAUUGCAUUGCACUGCAUCAAGGUUUUAAAGGUCUUUUAAAAUGUGCUGGAGGUAAAUUGCCAGGAGAUGUAUUAAUGUUUUAUUUCACUGUGUUUCAGUUUAUGUUUGCCUUUGCUUCUGUGGUGAUGAGGGCACUUGAAACAAAUUGGCUGGUCUGUGAGGCACAGCAGUAGCUGGUGAUAGUUGCUCUGGCAGUUGUCUCGUCAUUUCUAUGAACUGCUGACACCGAGCAACCCGGCAUGUUACUGGAAGAACAUUUAUCCUCCAUGGAAAGAAAGAGGUCUCUCCAUCCAGUUUUAGAAUUUAAGUUAGUUUUUAGUCCUUCUCAACUGGAUCAUAAAAUCUGUGCAGAGGUGAGAGAAAUUUAGAAGGACUCAAUAAAGGAACCUCAAAAGAGAGGUUCCCUGUGAAACCACAAAGCCUUGUUUAUAGGUCUUGUAGGUCUGUGUAAGUACAAGUUUUCACUUUAUACAGUGCUUCCAGUACUAUAUAAUAGAGUAUAAAUUAAUGCUGUAUUGGAUAUGGGGUUCCAUUCAUCAUCUUCCAAUAAAAAUUUAUUUUGAACUAAAAGUUCAGGCUGGACGUCACACUGGCCUGAACGAAGUCUAGAAAUGGAGGGAGGGAUGACUGGUUAUAUGAAAACAGGGUCUGGCUGAGAAGGCUUCUUAAACAUUCCUUUAAGAAAAAAGGAAGGGAAAAAAAGAGCCCUUACAAUAUAAGAAACAAAAAAUGUAAUGUAAUAAGACUCUGAAGAAAUGCACUUUCCACCCUGUUUCUGUACCAUAUGGAUUCUAUCUUGCUUACUUUUUCUAUCCCCAUUGCAAGACCCAAAGUUUUUGUGCUGCCACAAGGUGUGCUGAGGGCUGUGGUUCCCGUGCAGGGCCAGAGAUAGGGCUUCAAACCCCCAAAAAACUUACGCCAGGCUUUUCUCAGAGCUGGGAGUCCUCAAGGGACAAGGCAACAGCUGGCCUUCGGCACAGCCUGGAAAAGGGAAUCUUCCUCUGACCGUCGGAUGGUGGCUUUAUUGCCUCUUUAUACCAUGAAUUCACUGUCAAUAUACUUUUGUUUUGACUUAGUGACUGAAAUAAACUGAUUAUUCCCCUUUUCCA